rnacentral:tRNA from 3 species
GGGGAGGCGGCGACGAUGGCGAGUCGCACCAGACUGUAAAUCUGGCGCCUGAGGCUUAGGGAGUUCGAAUCUCUCCCUCCCCACCA